ACCCAGUGAUGAGACCUAGGCAAGUGUGACCCAAAUGGUAAAGGUAGUGAUGUCCUGUGACCCUCUCAAACAGGCCUGUAAUCUUGGCAGGUGGUGCAUAGUAUUGAUCAUUUGCUGUAAGGGCAGGCCAACAUUAACCAAACCACAAGCAGUGAUGGAUGUUUGAAGGUCCUACAGCCCAGAAUACUGCAUGAGGUUUGAUAAGCUAGGGAGAGGUUCAGAGGGUUACAUUGACAUCUCACUUCUGGUAAACCAAUGGGAAUGAGCACGUCUUUGGUAAUCUGAGGGUU
ensembl:snoRNA